rnacentral:rRNA from 1 species
UGAGGAAUAUUGGACAAUGGGCGCAAGCCUGAUCCAGCAAUGCCGCGUGCAGGAUGAAGGCCUUCGGGUCGUAAACUGCUUUUGUACGGAGCGAAAAGGUCUGCCCUAAUACGGUGGGCUCAUGACGGUACCGUAAGAAUAAGCACCGGCUAACUACGUGCCAGCAGCCGCGGUAAUACGUAGGGUGCGAGCGUUAAUCGGAAUUACUGGGCGUAAAGCGUGCGCAGGCGGUUAUAUAAGACAGAUGUGAAAUCCCCGGGCUCAACCUGGGACCUGCAUUUGUGACGGUAUAGCUAGAGUACGGUAGAGGGGGAUGGAAUUCCGCGUGUAGCAGUGAAAUGCGUAGAUAUGCGGAGGAACACCGAUGGCGAAGGCAAUCCCCUGGACCUGUACUGACGCUCAUGCACGAAAGCGUGGGGAGCAAACA